rnacentral:lncRNA from 1 species
UCGUAAUCAACGCAUAUCUUAUGCGUGUUGGAAUGAGGUUUGACACUCUAAAAAGGAACAAUAAUUAACACACAAGGAGAUUAUAAAGGGUCACAAUACCUACUAAGGUUUCUGAGUGUUCAAAGUUUUAUCAAUACCUACUAAGGUUUAUGAGUGUUCAAAGUUUUAUCAAUACAUACUAAGGUUUCUGAGUGUUCAAAGUUUUAUCAGUUAUAUAAUAUGUGGUUAUAAUAUAUAAUUAAAAGUUGGAUAUUAAUUUAUUUGGUACUAUGGAAAGGAAACAUUUGAUCACAAUAUUUUUUUUCCCAUAAAUGUACAUCUUGAGACUACACAAUGUAGUUUAAAAAAUAAGUAUUGUACUACAAUGUAUUUCUUAUAAAUGGUCUAGAUUCUCUCUAAGUUUCACCCUUAGGAGUAUUUAUACAGUCACUCUUGGGUUCGGAAUCUUCAUAGACCGGGCCUAUCCUGAUGGUCCCAAUCUGUUGGACCGGGGGGGGUAUCAUAUAGGCCUAGGGGUGAGAACGGGGCGGUUCCCCCGAUAACGUUUCGUUCCGCGUCCCAGUAGUAACCGGGGUUGGGGCCAGGUGAACCUUGUCCUAUUUUUAACUUUUGACCCGAUGCCCCGGUCAUAUUCCGAGGCGGGUCUUGGGGCAAGGUGAGCCCCAGCCGGUUUUGCCCCGGUUUUUAAAUAAAUUAUUUUUUAAUAAAUUAUAUUAUAUUAGAUAUAGGACUAUUAGAAUUAGAAAUUUUAUACAUUUUUAAGUUUAAGCCUUAACUUUUAAACUUUAUGUCUAUUUUAGAUUUACCUUUUUGUUUUUACUUUUAAGAAUUAAGGUAAAAAAGUUACCCAUUUUAAAUUUUAUACUUAGUUUUUUAAUUAUUUUUUAAAAUUUGAAUUAAUUUUUUUUUUUUUUAAUUAUUUUUUAAUAAUUCCAGGCAGGUCGCCCUAGGCACCUGGUCCGAGACAGGGGAUCAUAGUACAUGACCCGCCUCGUUCUGGUAGAACGGGAUUGAUACCGAGGCAAGACUGCCCCGCCCGUGACACGCCCCGUUCUCACCACUAUCAAAGUCUGAUAAUUCGUGUAACACGACGCGACCGAUUGAAUCCGUGUCAACACGACGAAUUGUAAUAAUUAUUUUAUUAUUAAAAUAAUUAUUAACUAAGGGUAUAUAUAUUUUAUUAUUUUAACUCUAUUACAUAGUUAUCAUUUUAUACCUAAUAUUUUAUGGGUAUAAUAUUUUAUAAAGAACUUAAAGGAUUUUACAUAAAAAUAUUAUUUUACCUUUAUUACAUAAACGAUAACCAUAAAUAAUUAAUAAUAUUAUAUUAUAUUUUUCAUGUUAUCGUGUCGUGUUGUGUCAACUUACGUUUCUAGUAAUCGAGUUGUGUUUUUAAAACGACGACACUAUUAUUAAUCGUGUUAAAACUUUCAACACAAACCCGACACUAUUUUGAACCAGCUGCGAAUUCAGGAAUUUUUUCUUUUUUAAUUUUUGACGGCUAGACUGUCAUGGUAUUCUUGUUUGACUCUUUCAAUAUUUUUUUUCCGCAACCGUCAUGGUAUUCUAAUAGUCAUAUCAAAUUCAAUCAGUCAAUCACCAUCAUUCAUAUAUACCCGAUCAUCUCUAUUGAAAUAUAUAUUAGAGAAUAUAUAUUGUUAUUUACUUUAAGACGGGAUCGGAAGAGGGCGGUCGAGAGGAAGAGCUCCCCAAGUAAUAAGGAACCCUUGUCCUGUUUGUGGUGGUAUGGGCCACAGUUCAUAUAAAUGUCAAUAUCGGGUCAGCCCAUACCAAACCACAAAUUCGGCCCAAGAGAACUCACAAAUAAAUAAUGCAGCCUCACCAUAUAAUGUGGGCUCACAUAUGCAAUCAGCCCAGUAUCACCUAGCCCAAGUCCAAAAACAACAUUCUAAUUAUUUAAUACCUAGGCAGCCCACUACAAACAAUACUCAGAUGGCAGACUCGUAUUUUUCAACAAGUGAUUUAGAUCAACAUGACAUGGCAGCCUGAUACCCGCACACUGGAGCGACACAUCGAUCAUUUUACUCCAAAUGUCAAGUCAAUCUCAUCUCUGAUGUCGUAUUAGAGACCCGGAUCUGCUAAGUUAGGUAAUGAGACUCAACUUCAGAUUCAACACUUGGGUGAUGGUAAUUCUGCAUGCAAGUGGAUCCUCUCCUUUUCGUUACUUAAUAUUUUACACGUUUCUUCUCUUAAAACUCUUUUAUUAUUUGUUCAGCAAUUUUGCAGAGAUAAUAACUGUUAUUUUUUGUUUGACUCUUUCCAUGUCUUUGUGAAUGACCGAAUUACUCACAAGGUACUCUUUCAAAGACCCUAUAGGGUAAAAACCCUAUAGAAACCCUAUAGAAGCAUUUAACAGAAGUAGUUUGUACUUUGUACGAUUCUGUCUCAACUUGUAAUUUGUUUUUUGUUGGUACCAUGGACCGCUCCAUGGACCGAACUGGCCACCCUACGAGCCCCAGUGCCCGAACGGGCUGGACGGCCAAAGGCCCACGAGGCCCAAGAGCCGUUGGAGUAAAUGACUAUAAAUACUCCCCCUAGUCCGCGAGGGGGAUAGGCUGACAAUUUUAGAGAGUGAACACUUGAGAGAGUUGAGGUGGGAAGCUUGCACCAACGAGCCCACACAUCAACAGUGGUGAACCUGACGUGAACUUGAAUACACCAGCCAGCGCGAAGGAGGAAGAUGACGACGGGGAGCGAAUUUCGCAGGAGGGGAGCUCAAGGGAUGGACGCUACAAGCCGCUGAGAACCCCCGACGCGAGGAGACAGGCAGAACCGGAUGCGGAGGAGUACUGGCCGGCAUCGCUCCACGGGCGGGACCGGCACAAGGAGGAAUAGAGAGCCCAGAAGGAAAGGUUGCGCAUGGAGAUGGAGGAGAUGAGGUACGGGAGGGACUCGGCCAGGGGAAGCAAACGAAGCGGGCCCCUAUCCCCACCAAGGGAGAGAAGGCCGAGCAGGUCCCGAUCCCCCGUGAAGAGGAGAAAGGAUAAGGAGUACGAGAAGCUCUGCCGGAAGGAGCGCAUGGAGAAGAGGGGGGAUAGGGGCAGGCGAAAAACCAACAGAUCCGAUGGAGGCCAGAAAGCUGAGAAACAGAGCGGCAUGGUUCGCAGUGGCCCAAGGCAAGCUAUACCGCCGCUCGGCGGCGGAAGAGGCCUCCCUCCGGCUAUGCGUCUCGCGGAAGGACGGCAAGGCCGUCGCACGAAGCAUCCACGAGGGGGCGAGCGGGGCACACCAAGGCGGACGGGCGCUAGAGAGGCAAGUGGCCAGGCAAGGCUACUAUUGGUCCGAGUCAAUAAAGGACUCGGAAGAAAUAGUGGACCGGUGCGACGAGUGCCAGCGACACUCGAACAUCCAGAGACGGUUGUCCACUAUGAUGAAGGCAGUAACGACGCCCGUCCCGUUCACACGAUGGGGAAUCGAUAUCGUGGGCCCUUUCCCGCCGGUGUCGAGAGAAGGAAGUUCCUUUUCGUGGCAGUGGACUACUUCACAAAAUAGGCUGAGGCGGAGGCCACGAACACGAUGACCGAGCAGAACGUGGUGAACUUCGUCUUCAGAAGUAUCGUAUGCCGGUUCGGAAUUCCGAUCCAAAUAAUAACGGACAACGGGACGCAGUUCACAGGGAGGAAGCUGAGGGAAUUCUGCGAGGACAGCGGGAUCAAGCUAAUUAAGCUUCGCGCCGGUAUACCACCUGUAGGCAAACGGGCAGGUAGAAGUGACAAACCGAACCAUUGUCUCCAUCUUGAAAAGAAAAGUGGGCGAGUACCUGGACAAGAUCCCGGAAACUAUGUGGGCGUACCGCACAACCAUCCGAACCCCCACGGGCCAAACACCUUUCGCUCUCGCAUUCCGAAUCGAAGCGGUGGCGCCAGCCAAGCUCGUAUGGCCGACAGCCAGGAUCGAGCAGUUCCAACCGGGAACGAACGACAGAGCAAUGCUCCUGGAGAGCGAGUGCGUGAAGAUACGGAGAGAGGAGGCCACCAUCAGGGACCUCACGUACAAGCGAAGGGUGGCAAGGUAUCAUAUUGAGAGGGUAGCCGAGAAGAACCUGGCUCCAGGCGACCUGGUGCUAAGGAAUGCCAGAGUAACGGGAGUAGACCAUACGAAGGGGAAGCUCUCGGCAAGAUGGGAAGGCCCGAACGUCAUCAUAGACGAGGUCCACCCGGGCAUCUUCCGCCUGGGUUACGAAGACGGGCAAGAGAUAGAAAGGACGUGGCACGCUGACAACUUGGAAAAGUAUAAGCGUUGAAGACCGAGACGUCGCCCCGCCUUCUCCCUUUUCCCUUUUCAUGUCGUUAUAUUUUUUUCCCCUCCAACCAAGGCACGCGAUGCCAAAUGAGAAGCACCCGAAGCGUCCAUUUAUCUUUUAAAGGCUUUCUUUUUCGUUACUGUCACGUGCCCCAAAGACCGAAGAGUGGGGCAAAAGAGGGGAAGGAAAAUAACGCGAAUCGGAAACGAUAGGCAAAAAGGGGGCCCGCCGAAAAGGCCGGUCGAAGGUUCCUAAGGUCAGAAGACCACGCGGGAACGUUCGGUCGGCCCAGACCGCCCCUAGAGGGAAACGAGCAAUUAGUAAGAACACGAAACAUUGCAAAGAAAAGGAAAGUCUUCAUUAAAAAAAAAAACUAAUUAUGUAGGUACAAAAAAAAAAGAGGAAAAAAUGGCUAACCACAAGGACCGGCUAGUCGAAGGUAAGCGGAUCAACGUAUUCGGGGAAGUCAGCUUCGAGAUCCUCCUCCUCGCCUUUGCUCACGUCCAAGGGGGGUUGGCAGUCAGGACCGCCCGUCACCUUCCACUAUUCCCAGUCGCGAGUGCUCCGAGGCAUCACGACGUCCGCGAGAGAGGGGAGAGCAAGAGUGCACAUGGCCCGCCCAUGAACGUAGCCCUUCCAGAAACAGGCACGUUUCGCGUCCUUGUACUCGAUGGCAUGGUCAGCUUGAUCACGGCCCUGCUGCAAGCGAACCUUGGAGAGAAUGGACAGUUGGAGUAGCUGGUAAUGGAGGUCCUGGUUGAGGUCCGACGGCGCGCGGGCGAACUACGACACGUAUCCUCCUCUUGCAGCAACCAGGAGUUAACGUUGAAAAGCCGGUUCCGAAGAAUCCCCAGGGCACGAGGAAGGGACGAAGAUGGAUCGACCACGGCGGCGAGUUCAGACAAACGCCCGCAGGACUCUACGAAGGUCUUGAAGAGCUCGGGGUCCAGACCGUCAGACUCGAGUACACGCAACACCUCAUUCGAAGCCUCAGCAGAAGGAGGUGUACGUGGCAUGGACCGGGGACUUCCCAGCUUUUUCUUCUCGGCUCGCAUUUUUUUCCUCUGUCGCCUCUCGAUCCGGGUAUGUUUGAGGGCGACUUCAGGCUCGGACUCAGGCAGCAGGGACAGUGGAGGCGAAGGCGUCAGAAACACGGUCUCAGUGGCCGAACGCUUCUUACCGGCCGCACGCUUCGAUGGGCCAUCGCGGGUAUAGUCCGUCCGGAUGAACUUCUGCAGAUGGUCGCCAUAAGACCAAUUUGUAACCAACUCCCGGGCGCUGACGGAGCCGCGGCGAUAGACCUUGAUCAACACCUCGUGUGCGCGCGACUGUGGGCCGUCCAGGUCAGACAUGAGCGGAGGGGUGGUGCGAGUCUUUAGCUGCGAGAGAAGCCCCCAAUGAGGUGGCGGCGGUGAUUCGAGAUCAAUCGGGUCCAGGGUGUCCACCGGCACGAAGAAAAAACGGUCGCGCCAGUUGUGGGACCGAUCAGCCAAAUGAUCGAACAGGGGAAACCCCCCGCGCUGGCUGAUCAGCAUGCGUCGGGGAUCCUGAGGCAUGGUCAUUAUCUGGAACCAUAUCCGGAAGACAGCCAGAGAAGCUUCGAUCCCGCACCGUCGGCAAAGCAGCGAGAAAGUCAGUAGCCGGUCGACGGAAGCCGGAGGAAGCUGGGAGAAAGAAACUCUGCAGAAGCGCACCGCCUCGCACAAGAGGGGGGAUAGGGGUAGCUUAAGGCCGCAGUCGGCAUAGGAGGAGUACAGGGCCACCAUGCCCUCCGGCGGAGAGGAGGCACGCCUCCUCUCCGCCGUGCCUCCUCUCCGCCGGAGAGUCGCGGACGAGGGUCCCCAGAGAGACCCUGGGCGUCCGUAAGCGCAAGUCAACAGAACCGAACGGAGCGGCUAGCGAAACCGAGUAACAAGCGGGAGAUCCCAGAACGGGGCACGGGGAAGGACGGGCCAGGCAAUAGGGGGGGGGACGGAAGAACCGUCAGCGAACCAAAAGACGAGCGAAACUCGAGGAGGGCCCGGGCGACGUCGACGACAGACGUCGAAUAGCAGAAAACUGCAUCAACACGAAAAUGAAGAAAACAACAACAGAAUCAAAAUACUAGGACAGCCGAAAGCGAAAAGUGCAACGUCAUACUAACGGACAAAAAGUACAGGGGCCAAUAAUACAACAAAGGCCAAAAUUUUAAACAAGUUACAAGAAUAACAAAAGCAUAAAAGCAAAAUACGUCAGGGCACCCUGAACACCACGCCCGCGAGAGACCAGGGAGCGGGCGAAGCGUCACCCGAAGGCAACCUCGUUGGCCGAAAGAGCCCUAGGAGCGGGCGCGAAUCGUCUUAGGGCGGGCCUAGGGGACCCCGACAAAAAGUGGCGCAGGUCAGUAGCCGGGAGGGACGAGACCCACGAUGGCCGCGCGACCGACGGCGGCGGCUGACAAUUCCUUCCGGAGCGACAGCAGGAGCGGCGGAAACUCGACAGAACGCCACCAACAGGAGCAGCGGCGGGAGCCGGCCCCGGGGACCGAGACAUCGGCAGGAAGGUCGGUACGGCGCAGCCGGGAGAGACGGCGGUGAAUGUCUAUUAGCACAGAGUUGAGUCGCUGAGUCUCCGCCACAGCCACGGUGUUGGACUUGCCAGCGGGCGUCAGCAGGCACGCGGUCUACGCAGCAUGCUGGAAUUUUGUUCCAACUUGUUUUAUCAAUAUUUUUCCUUGAUUGAUCAUCUCUCUUAUGAAAUGACAAUCUAUCUCUAUAUGUUUGGUUCUUUCAUGGAACACUGGGUUAUUUACCAGAUAGAUGGUUGAUUUAUUGUCACAGAACAAGACAGUUGACUUUUUAACUUUAAUUUUCAACUCAUACAUCAAUUGAUGGAUCCAUGUUAUCUCACAAGCUGUUUGAGCAAUUGCUCUAUACUCAGCUUCACAAGAUGAUCUUGUCACUGUAACUUGCUUCUUAGUCUUCCAUGAGAUCAGUGAAUCUCCCAACAUUAUGCAAAAAUCAGUUAAGGACUUCCUACUGACUUGGCAUGAUGCCCAAUCAGCAUCACAAUAUCCUUGAAUGGUUUGGUUUUCAGUUUUGUUAUAUAUUAACCCUUGACCAGGUGCACCUUUGAUGUAUCUAAUCAACUUGAAUAGAACUUUAAGGUGUAUCUCUCUUGGCUCAUGCAUGAAUUAGUGUCAUGAUGUGAUUUUAAUUACUCUAAUUUUUUGCGUAAAGGUCAAUCAAUUUUUAAAUAGAUGUGAUGAUGUUCGGUAAGCCUGUAAAUAGUAUAUCGAAAUCCACAUUCGAAUCUUCAUUCGAAUUUGGAUUUUCGGAUUUGGAUUCGGAUACCAAAAUUGAUAUCCGAAUUUUAUUCGAACGGAUUCGAAUAUCCGGAAAAUCCGUCGUUAAAAUUCGAAUUCGUUUAAAAAUUUCGGAUUCGAAUAUUCAGAUAUUCGAAUAAAUAUAAAUUGACUUUUGGAUAUCCGAAUUUUAAGAUGAUUAAUUGAUUAUUAAUUAACUUUAUUAAUGGUUAUUAGAGAUACACCCCUACGUUAAAUAAUAUCACAAAUAUAACAUUAUAAUAAAUAUUACACUCACCCCCUUUUAUUUAAUCAUAACUCUUCAUAUUCCAUUAUUUAUAUUUCCAUAUAUCAUAUUAUUCCAUAUUCCCAUAAUCAUUAAUUACUAUAAUUAAACACACCCAACCAAUUGGGUGUUCUUCUAUAUAAACACACCUAGACUUCAUCCAAAAAUAAACAAUCACACACUCUGUAAUCACAAUUACAUUCACUGUUUGAUUACUACGAUCUUCAACUUUCACAGUCUUCAAACGCUUACGCAACACACCAGUUGAAUCACAGAUUCACCACUCAAUUCAUCUUCAAUUCAUUCCAACAAAGCUGAGGAUUAUCGCUUCAUCAAUCCUUGAUCAAUCGAUCAUCCUACAGUAUCACUUUACAUUCAUUAUCAUUAUCAAUAUUAUUGCACAUAUAUUGAUCAACAUUCAUUUCAUCCAUUCCUUCUUCAAAUAUCAUAUAUAUUUAUAUUUGCAUAUCAAAUAUUACUUCUAUCAUGGUAUCAGAGCAGGAUAAAUCCUGAUCUCCAAUAUUCAAUAUUUUUCUUCUCAAAAAGGAAAGUAUUUUUUGUUUCUAUUUCUAUUUUUCUUUCAAAGGAAAGAAACUUUUGCCUCGCCAAAAAGGGCAACCAACACAAAAAGACACAAAAAAAGGCAGAUCAGAUCAAAACUCAGACAAUUCUAUUUCUCCAGAUAUUGUCAAAGAAUUCCUUGGGAGGACAAGGAGGAAGUGGAAUCUCCACAGCAAGAACACCAUUUGCCUUCUCCCCUUCAGAAUUCAAGCCCACCUCUGGAUCACUCCACAUUUCAUACUCAACAACAUCAUCACUGUCAUAGUCAUAAUCAAAGAGCUCACACACCUCUCCAGCCCAGAGUUCAUCAUUCUUACUUGUCCCACUCUCAAACACAAGAGGCUCUUCAUACUCAGAAUCAGAAGAAGAGUACAAAUCUUCUACAUCACCAAAAUACUCCAGGGCCUCAACAUUCAUCCCCUGCUUCCUCAGCUCCCUCAUCUGUCUGAGAUUUUUUGUGUGCCUUCUUAUCAACCUUCUUUCUCUCCUCUCAGCUUUAUCUGCAGAUGGAAACAAAGAAUGAUGAGUUCAAAAUAAAAGAUGGAAGCCCAUAUUAUAUAUCAGGGAGCGACAACCCAAAUUCAAGUCUGGUAGUAACUCCAAUCAGUGGACCAAACUAUCAAACCUGGGUAGUUAAGGUCCAAAGACCCCUAUCCACCAAAAACAAGUUAGGAUUCAUAAAUGGAUCCGUCACAAAACCAAAUGAUAACACAGACAAUUACCUCAUACCCUGGAUCAGAUGCAAUGAUCUGGUCACUGCUUGGAUUCUAAAUAGCUGCUCUAAAGAAAUCAGUAGCAGCACAAUAUUCAUAAAGGAUGUUGCUACUCUAUGGGAGAAUCUGAAGCAAAAAUACAGCAGAGGAAACUCACUAGUUAUUUCCCAACUCAAAAGGCAAAUUGCUCUGUGCACUCAAAGUAAUGAGUCUGUAAGAAAUUUUUAUGCUAAACUGCAGGGACUCUGGAAUGAGUUAGACAACAACCAGAUCUUUGAAUGCUGCAACAAUCUCAAUUGCAUAGCCAAAGAAAAUCUGGAAAAACUAAUCACUUUCACCACUGGCCUCAAUGACACAUAUUUGUCAAUCAGGGGGCAAAUAUUAAAGAAGAAAACACCAUCCUCAGUAGAUGAUGCUUUCAGAAUGGUUCUCGAAGAAGAAACUCAAAGAGAGUGCAUCUACCCUGAGGAAGGGAGUGUCAUGGUGACACAAACCAGAAACUUCACACCCAAGCAAAAACACAAACUCAAAGUGAAGACUCCAAGCCUUACUGUACUAGAUGCAAGAAGCAUAACCACAGCUUGGAAACAUGCUUCUAUGAACAUGGUUUUCCAUGAGGACAUGGGCUUCAUGGAGUAGACUUCAACAAGAAGAAAGAAAACACAACAAAAUUUAAUGGAAAAAAGGGCUUCAAUGGGAAGCCCAACAAAGGAUACAAGGGAAAACAUCAAAGCAACAAUGCCAACACACAAUCAGAGAUGAUGGCCAAAAUUCAAGUGAUGACAAAACUGAAAACAAAUUCAUCACCAGAGAAGAGCUCAUAAACAUACUGGGAGGAAUCUCUAAAAGGGAACGAGAGUCAAGCUCACAUGGCUUCUGGAAGCUCAUCUGGUAAAUCCUAUUUAAAAAAUAAUACAUAUUUUCAUUACUCACUAAACUCAUACACGAUGCCACAUACUGAACCAGAAAAUGAUCAAUGAAUCAUUGACACAGGGGCAACAAAUCAUAUGUGUUCCCCCAACACCCCCUUACACAAUGUCAAAACACUAUUGUAUCCAAUAAGCAUUCACCUCCCAAACUCCUAAACCACUAGAGUAUCAUCAAGUGGUUUUAUAUCCCUAUCAAAAGACAUCACCCUACAUAAUGUCUUAAAAAUACCAUCCUUCUCAGUAAACCUACUAUCUGUAAGCAAAUUAACAAAAGACAUAAAUUGAUUAUUCACCUUCCACCCUACUUUCUGUUCCAUACAGGAUCAGCAGGGAAACCAGAUUGGUGGUGGUGAGAAGAAAGAUGGCUUAUACAUCCUGAAGCUAAAAUCAUCCCAGGCCAACCACAGCCAACAAAAAGAAUCAAAGGAUGAGGAAAUCUGGCAUCAAAGACUAGGACACCCUACACCUUCUAGAUUUUAUCUUUUACAUUUACUGAACAAAUGUAUUCCUAAAAGUUUUUGAAAAUUUUGUAAUACAUGUCCUUUGUCAAAACAGACAAGAUUAUCCUUUAACUUAAGCACAAACAAAACUACUAAGUGUUUUCAGCUAAUUCAUCUAGAUAUUUAAGGAAAAUAUCACACACCCACAUACCAAGGAAACAACUAUUUCCUAACCAUAGUGGAAUUUACUCAAGGGCCACUUGGGCCUUUUUAAUGACAAACAAAGCUGAAACACUAGGUAAAUUCAAACAAUUUAUAUUGGAUGUUAAAAACCAACAUCAAGCAAACAUUCAGACUAUAAGAACAGACAAUGGAACAGAGUUCCUAUCUAAAGAAUUUCAAAAUGUUUUAAAAAUAAAUGGCAUAGCACAUCAGUUAUCAUGCCCCUAUACUCCUCAACAAAAUGGAAGAGUUGAGAGAAAACACCAACAUAUACUACAAGUGGCUAGGUCACUCAUGAUUCAAUCCAACAUUCCCCUAAGAUGCUGGAGAGAAUGCAUCCUAACAGUUGUUUUUCUAAUAAACAGAACCCCAGCUGUUGUUUUGGACAAUGAUACUCCUUACCACAAAUUAUUCAAUGAACAACCAAAUCUCUUCAUUAUAAGAGUAUUUGGAUGUCUUUGCUAUGUGAUGAAGCACGGAAUCUGCUACCAGUAGGCUCGCGGGGUUGCGAGGAGAGCAGGAGGUUUUGGAGUCCACGACGCGCGCUCUACGUCAAUGUACCUGUAGAAGUGGAGGGGAAUCGGCGACUCUCUUGGGAGUAGGCGAUUCGAGCUCCUUGGAUUGCUCUGGUGUGGUGUGGUCAAGUGGGAAUGACUUGGGAGUAGAGGACCCCCAAGGUCCCUUUUUAUAGGGUCCUAGGGGACGUUUCCCCAUUCAUUAGCGUAGGGCCCACCCCAUUAUGGUGCUCUAUUGAAGGGUGCCAUAAUGACGUGGGCCCUCCCAAGUAACGGUUGGGAAUCGGCGACUCAGGUAUAGGAGUCGCCGAUUCAGAGGUGGAGUCGCCGACUCCCCAUGAGCCAGGUUGGCAGUCUACCAGAACUGGUCACGAGGCCUGGAGUCGGCGAUUCACCCCUGGAGUCGGCGACUUGGUAGUCCCAGUCGGCGAUUCCCAGGUGCUUCCUUGAGUACUUGACGUAGACACUUCCUCCGCAUUUGUGGAACUCUCCGGGGGUCCGGCAUAAAGCGACGGAACCCUGGUCCUUGUCGAAGGACGUUGCUGGGAGUGACUGACGUAAUCAGGCAUGUCUCACCAGUACUACCCCCCCUGAAGAGAACAUGGAAAAACACGCGUGUACCGCCAAUAUCCCCCCCCAAGCAAGGUGAUCCGCAUCAAGGCCAAAGCGACAAGAUGGGAUGGAGUCAUUGCGCUCACAGCGACACAAAUGACUCUGCAUGGUCCAUGCACUAUCAGAUGGACUGAUUCACUAUCAGAAUCUAGUUCCAGGCCAACGGAACUACAUGUUUAUAGUCCAACUCUUAUCAGGAGCAACUUUUGCUGUGGAUUCUGGCCGAAGCGACAGAAUGCGUGGAUUCAGUGUUAGAAUCUGAUUCUGGCCGAAGCAACAAAAUGCGUGGAUUCACUAUUAGAAUCGGGUUCUGGCCGAAGCGAUAGAAUGUGUGGAUUCUGGCCAAAGCGACAGAAUGCGUGGAUUCUGGCCGAAGCGACAGAAUCUAGUUCACUAUCAGAACUGAUGUUUAUAGUCCACCCUGAUCAAGAGCGACUUUACGUCCGCAACGACGGUUACCCCAUAGGCCAAAGCGCAAGAUGGGUCGAGAUCAUUAAGGCCGAAGCGACAAAAUGAUCUCCAAGUGUUGAAGAAUUAUUGAAGCCAAAGCGACAACAUAAUUCUUGGUCCAUUAAGGCCAAAGCGACAAAAUCGAUCUGAAUCUAUUAAGGCCAAAGCGACAAAAUAGAUCCGAUUCUGGCCGAAGCGACAGAAUCAUUCCUGCAAAGCAACUAUAUCAGUCUAAAGGAUAUAUUUAUUGAUUUAUUGACCUUGCCGUGUGGAGCUGCCUCUCAUGCUGCUCCUCCUUAUGCUCAAUAAAUCCUUGAUUGAUCUGGCCGAAGCGACAGAUCUAUCAUGCUCAAAAAUGUGACAGCUUCUUGCCGAAGCGACAGAAGUGCUGGGAGAACUUGUGUUACUCCCCUUGGAUUUCGACGACUUCUGGCCGAAGCGACAGAAGUGUCGGGAAGAGCUUGUGAUACUCCCCCCUUGAGAUCAUUAAGGCCGAAGCGUCAAAAUGACCUCUGGUCUAUCAAGGCCGAAGCGAAGAGAUAGACCGACUCACUAUUAGAGUCUGACUCACUAUCAGAGUCUGGUUCACUAUUAGAAUUUGGUUCACUAUUAGAACCUUUCCUGCAAAAAAGAAAACAUCCUGCAAAACAACUAGAUCAGUCCAAAAACGCAUUUUUAACUUAUUGAACUUACCGUGUGAUUUUACCUUCCUUGAUGCCUCUUCUUUGCUCAAUAAAUCCUUGGUAAAUCUGGCCAAAGCGACAGAUUUUACCGUGCUCAAUUUUUGACGACUUCUGGCCAGAGCGACAGAAGUGUCGGGAGAGCUUGUGAUACUCCCCCGAAAUUUGACGACUUCUCGCCGAAGCGACAGAAGUGUCGGGAGAGCUUAUGAUACUCCCCCUCGAAAUGUGACGACUUCUGGCCGAAGCAACAGAAGCGUCGAGAGUACUUGUGAUAUUCCACAUUGAAAAUGUGACGACUUCUGGCCGAAGCGAUAGAAGUGUCGGGAGUACUUGUGAUACUCUCCAUUGAAAAUGUGACGACUUCUGGCCGAAGCGACAGAAGUGUCGGGAUUACUUUUGAUACUCACUAUUGAAAUGUGACGACUUCUAUCCAAAUUGACAGAAGUGUCGGGAGAGUUUGUGAUACUCCCCCCAAAAUUUAACCACUUCUAUCCAAAUUGACAGAAGUGUCGGGAGAGUUUGUGAUACUCCCCCUCGAAAUUUGACGUCUUCUGACCGAAGCGACAAAAGUGUCGGGAGAGAGAGUUUGUGAUACUCCCCCUUGAAGUGAUUGUUAAUGGGCUAUCUUUUGUUUUAUUGCUAAUCUUUCAUAUAAAUUACCCUUUAAAUUUUAACUAAGGCCCGAAACUAGAUUCACAAGUCGUAAUUUAGCCACUCUGGACGUAAAUUAGACUCUGCUAACCCUAUUGUUAGCCACUCUGGGUGUAGACUUGGUCAUACGAAUCGUAGCUCAGCCUACGGUUAAAUUUGUGGAUAAUUUAUACCUUCAGAUUAAGAUAGCGCGAAUGAAAAAAUCCGAAGGAUACAAAUUUUUCAAACUCGAGAGUUACGUUCGUAAUUUACAAUUAGAACUUAAGUUUGAAUCCUGAUGUUGGAGAGAGCUUAUGAUACUCUCUCUUGAAACGUGACGACUUCUGGCCGAAGCGACAAAAGUGUCGGAGAGAGCUUGUGAUACUCCCUCAUGGAACGUGACGAUUUCUGGCCGAAGCGACAGAAGUGUCGGAGAGAGCUUGUGAUACUCCCUUCUGGAAAUGUGAUGUUGUUUUACCCUGAGUCGGAGACCGGGUGUCCCAAUCGCCGACUCCUAAGUUUUGGAUUACUGUGAGGAUUUUGACGACUUCUGGUCAAAGCGACAGAAGUGUCGGUAGAGCUCGUGAUACUCCCCCUCUUGUAAUGUUUUGAUAUUUUUGUAAUUUUUUGGAACUCAAUCAAUUAUUUUGUUUUCUUAAUUAAUUGUUUAUUUAAUUUAUUUUUUGAAUUGUAAGUAAGACCCGAAACUAGAUUCACAAGUCGUAAUUUAGCCACUCUGGACGUAAAUUAGACUCUGCUAACCCUAUUGCUAGCCACUCUGGGCGUAGACUUAGUCGUACGAAUCGUAGCUUAGUCUAUGGCUAAACUCGCAAAAUAAAUUAAACUUCUCAACUAACCAAGACUCGCAAAACUAAGUGACGUAAUGAGUUGGAGAUACAAAAAUUAUCGGGAAUAGGACUUAGGAUUUUUUGAGAACCUAAGACUCUAGAUUUCAUUCCCUAAUGUGUAGUUGAACUCUGGCCGAAGCAACAGAGUAACUUUUUACCCUCAUCAAGGCCAUAGCGACAAGAUGAGGUUCAAUCGUAUGUGUUGUGGGUACUUAGAACCUCUUAGGGUUAGGUUCAUUUGUACUUAGGACAUGAUUUGUGACCAUGAUUUGUGACCCAUAAUUUGUGACCAUGAUUUGUGACCAUCACUUAGACUCGUGGGUCGUAAGCUAGGUUUGAGCGACGGGUAUCAUCCAGCCAAAGCGAUGGGUGAUAUAUGAGGUUGAAGAGACGGACGUCAUCCAGCCGAAGCGAUGGAUGAUUGAUCCGUCUGAAGCGACGGGUGAUUAUUCUAAAUAUGAUACUGCAUAUAUCUCUAUAGAUUAAAGAGAGAUUUAUUUAGAAUAAUGUCGCUAUUGCGAAUACAUAAGAAUAGCAUGAGCGACAAACAAAAUAAUCGACAUAUUUUGGUCGCUGGAUACCACUGACAGAAGCAUAGCCUGCAUGGUUAUUCUGGCCAAUCCUAUCUCUUAACAGGUGAUAGUUCCUCACUCCUAGCGUGAUGCACUUGAUUGCGAGUGUGAACUGUGGCUCUGGUUGCCAUCACUGUCAUAGGAUUGAGAGUGUGGGCUAUGGUCAUAACUGUUACUUGGCCGAGAGUGUGAGCUAUGGCUUUCGUGGCCAUAACUGUUACCAGACAGAGAGUGUGAGUUAUGACUUUGGUGGUCAUAACUACUGAUGAGAAGCUCCUCUCUAUACCGAGGAGGACUAGUCGAGGUUUCAGACUGGAAACUUGUAUCCUCGUAUGUAUCUUCUUUAGCAUAGCGAGGUUUUUUCCGGUUGGGCGGCUCGACUCCGCCCAACUUAUUAUUGUUCUCCUCUUCUAUCUCAAUGAACGAUUGAGCUCGUUGGAAGAGGUCGGGGAGGGUCUCCACUUUAUGGAGCGUAAGGUUCUGGGCCAAAGGGGAGUAGGGUACUAGCCCAUUCAUGUACCCCGCUAUGGCCAGACUCGGGAUUAGGCCGUUCACUUCUGUCAUCAUGGAAGUGAACUUAAUCGUGUAAUCCCUCAGAGACAGUUUGUUCUGUCGUAAUGCGAGUAGUGCGUUGGCACUGUGUUUUAUUCAGAUCAUUCCCACAUGUUGGGCGAUGAACUUCGAAGAGAGGUCCGCGAAGCUGGAGACCGAGCCAGCUGGCAGACCAGAGAACCACCGAUAAGCGUUGCCUUUGAGAGUGCCGGGGAAUGCCCGACACAACAGUCCGUUAUCGGUGGUCUGCGGUUCCAAGACACUAAGGUAGAGGUUGAUGUGAUCUUUUGGAUCACUCGAACCAUCAUACGCUUCUAUCUUGGGUACCCGCCAGGUUGGUGGAAAAGAUUCUUUCAAAAGAUCCUUGUGAAAAGGAGCGAUUUUGAUUCUCAAAAGCUCGAUCGGACUGCUGGCGACCGAAUUGUCGGCCAGCUUCCGACGGAGAUCUUCCACGAACUUUGUUGUAAGAGUCUUGUGAGUGCGACUCUUGCUAGGUCCAGCUUUUUCCUUAGGAGGUGUUGGAGAUUUCCUCUUUUUCUCCGUAGAUGGAGGAUAGUAAGACCCAGAUUCACCCGCUCCUUCGCGGAUGAUGGUCUUUUUGCCCCUUGCUUUCUCGAGGUUGCUAACUCUUUUUUCUAUGGAAUCCAUAAAGUUAAUCAACCUCUCUUCUAGCGUAGGAGUUAGGUUCACUCCCCCAUUUGAUGGGAGUGAUGAGGGCACCUUAUGUGCUGAUAGUGGUAUAUUGGAGGUUGGUAUAGUACGGGAACCAACCCUCCUACCAGAAGCUCCUACCUCAGUAGUAAUUGCGAGAGCUUUCUUUUUAUGAUCCUUAGUAAAAGGAGCCAUAAAUGGGAUGGUUGCUUCUAUCGGGUCGAAGCAACAGACUACGAGUGGAAGUUCUUCCGAAGUGUCGGAAGCUAUGGGUAGUACCUGCCCCCCCGGGUGUCGCAAAACAGAAAAAAUUUCGUAUAAUAUUUCUUUGUAGUUUUGUGACCCCCUUGAGCAGUACUACUAGUCCCCAAAGUUUGAAAUUAGUAAAAAAUAUCGGAAAAAAUUUGCAAUUUUUCUGCAGAAAAUCGUGCUGCCGGAGGUGGUUUUCGGGAUGCCUGUUUAGACCUAUCCCAGAAAAGAUUCCUUGCACUGUUGGGAAAUUCUGCUCUUUUGUACUCGUAGAGAAAACUUUUUUCACGUGAACUGUGGUUGUAGAAUUCCAAAAUCAGAUCUGGGUAUUCCGGAGGUGGACGGACAAAAUCACUGGUAGUGAAAAAAAGUAAAAAGCCCCAUACUCUUUUUUUUUUACCGAAACGACGAUGCGAGUCCAGCCAAAGCGAUGGAUUUUCGUUUCGGUAAAAGAGCUGGGCUAUGUGUCGUCUUAUUCAGCCGAAGCGAUGAAUGAAGACGAUGACCGAAUGACCGAAUCGACAAUUCAACUGUGGGAAUCGCCUACUCGGUGUGGGAGUCGGCGAUUCAAUUGUGAGAAUCGCCUACUCAGUGUGGUCUUAUUCAGCCGAAGCGAUGAAUGAAGACGAUAACUGAAUCGACAAUUCAAGUGUAGGAAUCGCCUACUCAGUGUGGGAGUCGGCGACUCAAUUGUGGGAAUCGCCUACUCAGUAUGGAAUAGUUGAUUCAAGUGGGAAUCGACGAUUCAGAUGGGGAUAGGUGAUUUUCUAUGAAAAAUCCAACCUAUAUGGAAGUGAAAGUGCCAGAGCAAAAGGCAUUGACAGGACUUGCUCAAAAAGCUAAAGGAAUCGGCGACUCCCUAUGUGGAGUCGGCGAUUCAACUUAUGGCCUUUUUGAACCAAACCGUGGACAACACUCUUAGCUAGCAGAAUAACCCGCAAUCGGCGACUCACUAGGUGGAGUCGGCGAUUGCCUGUGUGUAUCGGAGAUUCCUUAACACAAAGUUAGCGACUCACCAUAAGGGAAUCGAGCUGAACUUUGCGAAGAAAAUUUCGCGAUUACGACGGGAUAUCGUGGUUCGAUAGUCCCACAGACGGUGUCAGCUGAUGAAGCACGGAAUCUGCUACCAGUAGGCUCGCGGGGUAGCGAGGAGGGCCGGAGGCUUUGGAGUCCACGACGCGCGCUCUACGUCAAUGUACCUGCAGAAGUGGAGGGGAAUCGGCGACUCUCUUGGGAGUAGGCGAUUCGGGCUCCUUGGAUUGCUCUGGUGUGGUGUGGUCAAGUGGGAAUGACUUGGGAGUAGAGGAGCCCCAAGGUCCCUUUUUAUAGGGUCCUGGGGGACGUUUUCCCAUUCAUUAGCGUAGGGCCCACCCCAUUAUGGUGGCCUAUUGAGGGUGCCAUAAUGACGUGGGCCCUCCCAAGUAACGGCUGAGAAUCGGCGACUCAGGUAUGAGAGUCGCCGAUUCAGAGGUGGAGUCGCCGACUCCCCAUGAGCCAGGUUGGCAGUCUACCAGAACUGACCACGAGGCCUAGAGUCGGCGAUUCACCCCUGGAGUCGGCGACUUGGUAGUCCCAGUCGGCGAUUCCCAGGUGUUUCCUUGAGUACUUGACGUAGACACUUCCUCCGCAUUUGUAGAACUCUCCGGGGGUCCGGCAUAAAGCGACGGAACCCUAGUCCUUGUUGAAGGGCGUUGCUGGGAGUGACUGACGUAAUCAGGCAUGUCUCACCACUAUGCCACAAAGAACAAAACAAAGACAAAAUUCGAAAAUAGAGUCAUCAAGGGAAUUUUUCUAGGAUACUCAUUCCAAGGAAAGGGUUACAAAGUGCUCAACCCAUCUACUCAAGAAAUUUUCACAAACAGGGUUGUUACAUUCUUUGAAGAGAUCUUUCCCUUCAAAGAAGAACCAAAACAACAUGAGAAAGAUUUCUUCAAUAAAGAAUCAUCAGAAGGAACAAACAUAUACACAAUAAACAUCACUCCUCCACUUGAUCAAUAUGAGUCAGAAGAAGAGAAGGAGAUAACAUCAAUCCCUCAAAUUUCCCAAAUUCCUCCUUCAAUGGAACCUACUGAACAAUAUGAGUCAGAGGAAGAAGAAGAAAUGACUGACAGAACAAUAUCAACAAACAAUGAGGAAACCAACAGAACAUCAAAAAGGACUAGAAGAAUACCCUCAUAUCUAAAGGACUAUAAACUACAACUGGCAUCAUCCAAAAACCCAAUAGAAAAACUAAUAUCAUGCCAAAACUUUACUUCAGAACAUUAUGCUCUGCUCUCAGCAAUAAAGAGCAAUGUUGACCCAAAUUCCUACAAAGAGGCAUCUAAACAUGCCAAAUGGAACAACGCCAUAAAACAAGAGCUUGAGGCUCUUGAAAAUAACAAAACCUGGACCAUUACAAGCAUCCCUGAGGGCAAGAAACCAAUUGAAUAUAAAUGGGUCUACUAAACAAAAUUCAACAGUGAUGGAACUGUUGAGAAACAUAAAGCAAGGCUAGUAGCCAAAGGUUACAAUCAAAUUGAAGGCAUAGAUUUCACAGAAACCUUUGCCCCUGUCUCUAAGAUGACAACACUAAGGGUCAUCUUAGCAAUAGGAGUAUCCAAGAAAUGGCACAUGCAUCAAAUGGAUGUGCAAAAUGCAUUUCUAUAUGGGAUCUUAGAAGAGACUAUAUAUAUGAAAAUACCUUCGGGUUUAGAAAUACCAAAAAAUUCACCACCUAAUUCAGUUUGUAAAUUGAAUAGAUCACUAUAUGGCCUGAAACAAACAUCUAGAGUGUGGUAUCAAACCCUAUCAAAAGCUUUAUCCAAUUUUGGAUACAAGCAAUGUAAAACAGACUACUCACUGUUUAUAAACAUUGAUGAUAAAGAUACCACAAUAGUAUUAGCAUAUGUUGAUGAUCUGUUGAUAACAGGAAACAACAUAAACAAAAUAAAUUCCUUAAAAGAAAAUUUAAAGAAAAUUUUCAAAAUAAAAGACCUUGGAGAACUCAAAUACUUCCUAGGCCUUGAAUUCACCAAAACACCCAAUGGCUUAUAUAUUGGGCAAAGAAAAUACACCUUAGACCUAUUAGAAAAAUAUGACUUAACUCAAUGUAAACCAAACAAUACACCUAACAGUCAAAAACAAAUAUCCAACUAUAAAACAAAAAAAUAUAUUAACAUUAAUCCAAUACAACCAAAUAAUCACACUAAUAAAACACCAAUGCAAUCAAACAAAACAGAGGAAAAUGGAGUUCCAUUAGAGGACCCAUAAAAAUACAGAAGCAUAAUUGGCAAGUUAGUUUAUUUAACUUGCACAAGGCCAGACAUAUCAUAUGCAGUGACUUAUUUAAGUCAGCACAUGGCCACACCCACAGACAUUCACAUGAAAGCAUCCUACAGAGUAUUAAAAUAUAUAAAAGGAUCACCUGGUGUGGGGUUACAUUUCACAGGAUCCUCAAUGGACCACAUCUCUGCCUUCUCUGACUCAGAUUGGGCAAGUUGCCCGACCACUAGGCGAUCAACAUCGGGGUUUUCCAUCUUCCUUGGUACUUCACUAGUAUCUUGAAAAUCAAAAAAAUAAUAGACCAUAUCAAGAUCAUUAGCCUAUAUUAUCCAAUACAGCCGAAUAUAGACAUUAGCCUAUACUACAUGUGAAAUAACUUGGUUGACAAUGCUAUUGCAAAAGAUAGGAGUAUACCAAAUACAACGAUCACCGGCUCCUCGUAUCUUCACCGAUAGCACAGCAGCAGAGGCGAUUGCUCGAAACCCUAUCUCACACCAACGAACAAAGCACAUAGAAAUCGAUCUCCACACGGUAAGGGACAAAGUUUUAGCGGGAGAUAUUACACUAAGACACGUCUCCAGUGCACAAAACAUUGGUGAUUUUUUCACUAAACCCUUAGGUGGCCCAGCAUUCAAACAUUUAAUCCAAAAAUUAAAUCUCAUCGAUAUACACACCCAAAAUUCAAACCCAAUUAAUUCACUAAAAACACCCCAUUGCUCCCACAUAUUCAAAUCAAACCCUAACUGGUUUUGAUUUGAGGGAGGAUAUUAGAGAUACACCCCUACGUUAAAUAAUAUCACAAAUAUAACAUUAUAAUAAAUAUUACACUCACCCCCUUUUAUUUAAUCAUAACUCUUCAUAUUCCAUUAUUUAUAUUUCCAUAUAUAUCAUAUUAUUUCAUAUUCCCAUAAUCAUUAAUUACUAUAAUUAAAGACACACAACCAACAUAGCCGUUGGGUGUUCUUCUAUAUAAACACACCUAGACUUCAUCCACAAAUACACAAUCACACACUCUGUAAUCACAAUUACAGUCAUUGUUUGAUUACUACGAUCUUCAACUUUCACAGUCUUCAAACGCUUCCGCAACACACCAGUUGAAUCAAAGAUUCACCACUCAAUUCAUCUUCAAUUCAUUCCAACAAAGCUGAAGAUCAUCGCUGUAAAGAAGAAAAACUGAUGUAUAGACAGAAACAUCAGACUGAAUAUAUAGAAGAAGCAGGAUAGAGAAAGAAAGAAAGGAGAAAAAGAAAUACAAUGGGGAAGAUACAGUUAGAGAUCUAACUGCCCAAAGAUAGUGGAAUCAACUUUGUAUCCAGAUUGUGAAGAAAGAGGAAUGAGCACAAGAAGCCCUAAUUUCAAUAUGGAAAAAUAUCAAGUAUACAAAACACAAUCUUCAAAAACUAAUUCAUUAGUAUUAGUUUAUACUAUUUAUAAACCUUACUAGGUUAUUUAUCUAUUAGUCCAUUUACUAACUAAUAUUAUUAAUAUACCCUUAUGUGUGAAUUUACACUUAUGGUAUGAUAUUUAAUACUAUCUUUACAUUCCCCCUCAAUAUCAUAAUUGAAUCAAUCAAUUAUGAUAUUGAUCAAUCAAUUAUGAUAUUGAUCAAAAUUUCAGAAACAUGAUCAGAAUCUUUUCCUGCUCCUUUGUCCUUGUCGAGGCCCUUCAUCUUAACGACAUAUAUAGAUCCUUUGUUUAGUCCUUUCUCUGUUCACCAAUUCUUAUAUAGAUCCUGCAUUUAUACAUAUUAUAGAUGUCAUCCAGGCAGGGACCAACUCCCUUUAGCUUCCUUUGCAGUCUUGAUUCCUGCACACAUUCAAGCAUUACAUACCACUCAUAGCUACACAAAUAAUAAUAACAUCAAAUAUUUAACCAAUAUCAUAAUAGAUAUAUAACAUUAUCAAACAUAAUAACAUCAGUCCUGAUUUAUUAUUAUUAUUAUUAUUUAUUAUUAUUAUUAUUUGGUUCUAAGUCUCUUUACUAUCUGGUUUUUGUCAUUUGAUCCUCUACUGAAGAUGCAUUUUCAUCAUUUCUUAUGUCUACUUUUUUCUUAAUAGGACUUAGUUUAUGUUUGUUCCUAUGCCUUCUAAAAUCUUCAGUUCCUAGUAUCUUUGUGAAUCUAUCCGCAAGUUGCUGGUUGGAUGGAAUAUACUCUAUCCUUAUUGCUCCUUUGUUUACUAGUUCUCCAAUGAAAUGUAGAGAGAUGUCCAUGUGUCUUGUUCUUCCACUUGAACUUGGAUUUUUUGCCAAAAAUAUGGCAGAUUUGUUAUCACAUAGCACUAGUGGUGAAGAAUCUAGUUUUAUCCCUAAUUCUCUAAAUAGAUAGCAAAACCACUUUAUUUCUGAUAUUACUCCUGUUAAUGCCCUAUAUUCAGCCUCACAACUUGAUUUUGCUACUGUUGAUUGUUUCUUAGCUGACCAGGCUAUCACAUUAUUUCCAAACCAUAUGCUAGAUCCAGAUAUGGAAAUCCUGUCAUCAGGAUUGUUUCCCCAAUCUGAGUCACAGUAUGUUAUAAGUGUGUUUUCUGACCUAUCUGAGGAAUUAAACCUAAGUCUUAAGUUGAUACUUCCCUUGACACAUCUCAGUACCCUUUUAGCUGUUUGUAAGUGUAUCUCAGUAGGUAUUUGUAAAAACUGACUCAAGUGAUUUACAUGAAAUGCAAUAUCUGGCCUUGUUAGAGUAAGAUAUUGCAGUGAUCCAAUUAUACUUCUAUAAACUUUUGGAUCCUCUAUAGGUGUUCCCGUUUCUUUUAUUUUAGAUCUUCAACUCCAAUUAUUUUAAAAAAUAAAGAUGUAUCUGUUUUGCUAUUGGAAAAAUCAUUCUUUGUUAGAAAAUUUUGUAAUCUGGAGUACCAAGCUCUAGGAGCUUGUUUAAGUCCAUACAAGGCCUUAUGAAGAAGACACACAUGUUUAGGUGAUUUCUUAUCUAUAAAUCCAGUUGGUUGCUUCAUAUAGACUGUCUCAUUUAGAUAGCUAUUUAGAAAGGCAUUUUUAAUGUCAAGUUGUUUUAAUUGCCACCUGUGUGAAGUGGCUAAUGACACAAUUGCCCUGACUGUGUUCAUUCUAACCACUGGCCUAUAAGUUGAGGUAUAAUCCACCCAUUCUUCCUGGUUAUAUCCUUUAGCAACUAACCUUGCCUUAUAUCUUUCUAGGGUUCCAUCUACCUUCUUUUUUAUUUUGAACACCCAUUUGCAUCCCACAAUGUUCAUAUCAUUCGUUUGAGGAACUAGACUCCAUGUAUCAUUUAUUUUGAGAGCAUUCAUCUCUUCUACCAUUGCUUCCCUCCAUUUUUCAUCUUUGUUUGCCUGACUAAAUGAAAUUAGUUCAUCACUGUUUAGUUCUGAAUAGGAGCAUUCAUAGUCUUUGAGUAACACAGAAGGUUGUUUUACUCUAGUAGGAUAACUUUGAGUUUUAGUCACCUCAGGUUGACUACCACUAAUGCUUAAGUUCUGAAGUUGGGAAGAGAGAUCUUCUAUAUUCACUGAGUUUCCAGAACCAUUGCACUGUAUUGGUGUUUCUCUUGUUGUUUGAAUUUCAAUGGUUGUUCUCAAAUUACUGUUUAUUCUACUCUCAGAUCCAUUUCCUUGUUGUAUUAAAUUGUUGUUCCCUUGGGUUAUUUCUUUUCCUAUUGUCAUUGUGGGUAAUAUAAUGGAACAUGUAGUUGACUUUGCCAUUUCUUUUUUUUUUGCUUAUUUCCUUGUUUUAUUUCGCUAAAAAUGGGAAUUCUAGUUCAUUGAAUUUCCGUGCUGGGCCUCCCACCUUCUCUCUGAACCGUCUUUAUGACGCAUUGAAUUCUGAGCUUCUUUCCCCUUCACUUUCUUCCUAUAAAUAGGGUGUUGAUAGUUUUCGUUCUUCUAUCCUCUCUUCCUCCACGAUGAGUAUCCAAGAUAUCCUUAAGGAAUACGGCCGUGAAGUGCAGCUCCAGCAUGCUGCGUGGGCCGCGUGCCUGCUGACGCCCGCUGGCAAGUCCAACACCAUGGCUGUGGCGGAGACUUAGCGACUUAACUCUGUGCUGAUAGACAUUCACCGCCGUCUCUCACGGCUGCACCGUACCGACCUUCCUGCCGAUGUCUCGGUCCCUGGGGCCGGCUCCCGCCGCUGCUCCUGUUGGUGGUGUUCGGUCGAGUUUCCGCUACUCCGUGCACGCCGCUCCAGCUGCCGCUCCAGAAAGAACUGUCGGCCGCCGCCGUCGGUCGCGCGGCCAUCGUGGCUCCCGUGGAUCUCGUCCCUCCCGGCUACUGACCUGCGCCACUUUUUGUCGGGGUCCGCUAGGCCCGCCCUUGGACGAUCCGCGCCCGCUCCUAGGGCUCUUUCGGCCGACGGGGUUGCCUUCGGGUGGUGACGCUUCGCCCGCUCCCUAGUCUCUCGCGGGCGUGGUGUUUAGGGUGCCCUGACGUAUUUUACUUUUAUGCUUUUGUUAUUCCUGUAACUUAUUUAAACUUUUGGCCUUUGUUGUAUUAUUGGCCCCUGUACUUUUCGUCCGUUAGUAUGACGUUGCACUUUUCGCUUUCGGCUGUCCUGGUAUUUUGAUUCUGUUAUUGUUUUCUUUAUUUUCGUGUUGAUACAGUUUUCUGCUAUUCGACGUCCGUCGUCGACGUCGCCCGGGCCCUCUUCGAGCUUCGCUCGUCUUUUGGUUCAUUGACGGUUCUUCCGUCCCCCCUAUCACCUGGCCCGUCCUUCCCCGUGCCCCGUUCUGGGAUCUCCCGCCUGUUACUCGGUUUCGCUAGCCGCUCCGUUCGGUUCCGUUGACUUGCGCUUACGUACGCCCAGGGUCUCUCUGGGGACCCUCGUCCGCGACUCUCCUGCGGCUCAAUCCGCAGCGUAUGUCGACGUCCGCCUGCUGGGGCCAUCAUAUUCCUUACUCGCUCCUGUCGGGUACCGUCUUUCCUUCUGUUCCCCGAUGAUUUGGGCCGCAGGCAUCCAAGGUUCCCCGGCCCAUGUCGACCUGAAGGCCCCAGGUACCCGCGACGCCUCGUCUUUCUGUACCUCUCCCGCUAUAUAAGUCCUCCGCCUUCUCACUAUCCUCACUUCCACUCUAAUUUUUGCUCUCCCUAAUUCUAUCCUUACUCUCCCCCUCUUCCUCUGUUCAGGUUCCCGAUGGCUGCUGCUGCUUUGCGUGCCGCCGGCUCCACCGCGGAUCAGGUUUUUUCAGGGUUAUUUGACAUCCCCGACCCCAAGAAACCCCUGGCCAACAUCACCGCCGACGCCAUUCGCGAUUCGCUAGGUCGCAUGGGCCGGGGUGACCUCGUCUUUACUGAAGCGGGCCGCCGGCUCGCCUCCUCUCCGCCAGAGGGCAUGGUGGCCCUGUCCUCCUCCUAUGCCGACUGCGGCCUUAAGCUACCUCUAUCCCCCCUUUUGUGCGAGGCGGUGCGCUUCUGCCGAGUCUCUUUCUCCCAGCUCCCUCCGGCUUCCUUCGACCGGCUACUGACUUUCUCACUGCUUUGCCGACGGUGCGGGAUCGAAGCUUCACUGGUUGUCUUCUAGAUAAGGCUCCAGAUAAUGUCCAUGCCUCAGGAUCCCCGAUGCAUGCUGAUCAGCCAGCGCGGGGGGUUUCCUCUGUUCGAUCAUUUGGCUGAUCGGUCCCACAACUGGGGCGACCAUUUUUUUUUCGUGUCGGUGGACGCCCUGGGACAGAUUGAUCUCGAAUCGCCGCCGCCGCCUCACUGGGGGCUUCUCACGCAGCUAAAGACACGAACCACCCCUCCGCUCAUGUCUGACCUGGACGGCCCACAGUCGUGCGCAUACGAGGUGUUUAUCAAGGUCUAUUGUCGCGGUUCCGUCAGCGCCCGAGAAUUGGUUACAAAUUGGUCUUAUGACGACCAUCUGCAGAAGUCCAUCUGGACGGACUAUACCCGCGAUGGCCCGCCGAAGCGUGCGGUCGGUAAGAUGCGUUCGGCCGCUGAGACCGUGUUUCUGACGCCUUCGCCUCCACUGUCCUCGCUGCCCGAGCCCGAGCCUAAAGUCGCUCUCAAACAUACCCGGCUCGAGAUGCGACAAAGGAAAAAAAUGCGAGCCGAGAAGAAAAAGCUGGGAAGUCCCCGGUCCUUGCCGCGUACACCUCCUUCUGCUGAGGCUUCGGAUGAGGUGCUGAGCGCCCUCGAGUCUGACGGUCUGGAACCCAAGCUCUUCAAGACCUUCGUCGAGUCCUGCGAGCGUUUGUCUGAACUCGCCGCCGUAGUCAAUCCAUCUUCGUCCCUUCCUCGUGCCGUGGGGAUUCUUCGGAACCGGCUUUUCAACGUUAACUCCUGGUUGCUGCAAGAGGAGGAGUACGUGUCGCAGUUCGCCUGUGCGCCAUCGGACCUCGACCAGGACCACCAUUACCAGCUACUCCAACUGUCCAUUCUCUCCAAGGUGCGCUUGCAGCAGGGCCGUGAUCAAGCUGAUGAGAUGGCGAAGCUGCGCGAACAGGUCGCUUGUCUGAGGGGCGAUGUUGAGGCUGUCACCCGGCAGCGCGACCAGUUGGUGUAGGGGGCUUCCAAAGUCGUUGAAGAGCAUCGGCUUCGCGUGGUCGAGGUCCAGACUGCUUGUGCGGCUGUUGAGGAAGCUGCCGCUGCUGUUAAGAAGCGAACCAUGGCCAAGUUCCUUCCCGUAUUUGAGACGCGCCUCGCCGUCCUAAAGCAGGACCAUUUCAUCGAGUGAAAGGACGCGAAACGUGCCUGUUUCUGGAAGGGCUACGUUCAUGGGCGGGCCAUGUGCACUCUUGCUCUCCCCUCUCUCGCGGACGUCGUGGUGCCCCGGAGCGCUCGCGACUGGGUAGAGUGGAAGGUGACGGGCGGUCCUGACUACCAGCCCCCCUUGGACGUGAGCGAAGGCGAGGAGGAGGAUCUCGAAGCUGACUUCCCCGAAUACAUUGAUCCGCCUACCUUUGACUAGCCGGUCCUUGUGGUUAGCCAUUUUUUCCUCCUUUUUUUUUGUACCUACAUACUUAGUUUUUUUUUAAAAUGAAGACUUUUCCUUUUCUUUGCAAUGUUUUGCGUUCUUACUUAUUGCUCGUUUCCCUCCUAGGGGCGGCCUGGGCCGACCGAACGUUCACGUGUGGUCUUCUGACCUUAGGAACCUUCGACCGGCCUUUUCGGCGGGCCCCCUUUUUGCCUAUCGUUUCCGAUUCGCGUUAUUUUCUUUCCCCUCUUUUGCCCCUCUCUUCGGCCUUUGGGGCGCGUGACAGUAACGAAAAAGAAAGCCUAUAAAAGAUAAAUGGGCGCUUCGGGUGCUUUUCAUUUGGCAUCGUGUGCCUUGGUUGGAGGGGGAAAAAAAUACAACGACAUGAGAAGGGAAAAGGGAGAAGGCGGAGCGACGUCUCGGUCUUCAACGCUUAUACUUUUCCAAGUUGUCGGCGUGCCACGUCCUUUCUAUCUCUUGCCCGUCUUCGUAACCCAGGUAGAAGAUGCCUGGGUGAACCUCAUCUAUGAUGACGUACGGGCCUUCCCAUCUUGCCGAGAGCUUCCCCUUCAUAUGGUCUACUCCCGUUACUUAGUGUUAAUAAUAAAAUAAAAUAUUAUAUUGGAUUGGAUUUGAAUAUUAUAUCUGUGAUUAGGGGUGGACGUGGGCGAGUUAAACCAGAACAUGUUGUGUACGGAUUCAGGUGUAUAUUUUCGACCAUGAAACACAUGAAAAACUUGAACCCGAGUUUUUUCAUCUGAUUUUUUCGAAUCGGGUUCAGGUAAACUCGAACCAAACUCGAUUCAUCCAAAUUUUUUAUAAAAAAAACUUUAAAAUAUAAAUAAAAUUUUAUUUUAUAUAAAAUAUUUUAUAAAAAUUUAAUAUAUACAUUUAAUAAAUUUCCUUUCUUCUUCUAAAAUUUAUUCCCUAAUAUUAUUAUCGAUUUCAUCUUCCCUCUUAUUGCCGUACUCAUCGUAGUCGCCUGAUACAUCUUCACAUUUGAAUCGAGACUGUUUCGGAUACAAUUAUGUGGAAAAUGAAAGAUACAUGUUUCGGAUCUUUUGUUGGCAUGGUCGAUUUCCCAAUAAAAUCGAGACUGUUGGAUGAUUUGGUUGGCUGUUAUGUUGGUAAUUACUGUUUUGAAAUCAAGGGAAAGAAAUUGGAGGUUUCGGUCAAGUAAAUCGGCGAAAUUAUUGGAGUUCCAUAUCAAGGACUGCCAAUUAACAUGAAGCCAAAGGCGAAACCCACAGGUGGAAGAUUUUCCUCAAGCAUCAUUCAAGAUGACUCCAGACAGUGGAGUGUAUGUUCUCACGGCAAUGAAUUAUAUAGUCAUGGGGGACACCGUGCUAUGGAGUAGAAAAGAUGUGGAUCAAAUGGCCGACAAAAUCGUAUAUGAUAUUCUUCGCGCUGUUCUUUUAGAUGUUAAAUGCUACUUACAUUACAAACAAAAGCUUAGAUUGUGUCUGUUAGGGUUUUAUGUAUUCUGUUUAUUACAGGUGAAUUAGUAAAUGGUACAUCUAUUAGUAUAUGUUAUAUCAUUAACUAAUUAAUUUAAUAGCAUUAUCAAACACUGAAAAAGCAUUAAUUAUAAGCAGUUAGGAUAUCUAGCCCUCUGUUUAUCGAGCAUUAAGGAUACCUUGGCCCAUGGACAUUGACUAUACACAUAAUGUCAUUACAAGCAAUCGUAGUAGCAUCCAGGCCAUUCAUUUGCAACAUUACCUAGUAAUAAUAACAUUAGUACGUAGGUUACUAACAUUAAGGAUACCUUGGUCCAUGAUCAUUGACCACACACAUAGUAGCAUUAUAAGCAAUCGGAGUAGCAUCCAGGUCAUUCAUUUACAAUAUUACCAAGUAAUAAUAGCAUUAUUAGGUAGGUUACUACGUUUAAGGAUACCUUGACCUAUGUUUCAUUGACCACACAAAUAAUAGCAUUACAAGCAAUCGGAGUAGCAUCUAGGCCAUUCAUUUGCAACAUUACCAAGUAGUAAUAGCAUUAGUAGGUAGGUUACUACCAUUAAUGAUACAUUGACCUAUGUUUCAUUGAGCACACACAUAAUAGCAUUACAAACAGUCGUAGUAGCAUCCCGGCCUUUCAUUUUUAACAUUACCAAGUAAUAAUAGCAUUAGUAGGUGGUUGACUAGCAUUGCGGAUACGUCAGCCUAUGUUUCAUCGAGCACACACAUAAUAGCAAUACAAGCAGUCGUAGUAGCAUCCCGGCCAUUCAUUUUCAACAUUACCAAGUAAUAAUAGCAUUAGUAGUUAGGUUACAAGCAGUGAGAAUAUCUUGGUCUAUGUUCAUUGAGCACACACAUAAUAGCAUUAGAAACAGUCGUAGUAUCAUCCCGGCCUUUCAUUUUUAACUUUACCAAGUAAUAAUAGCAUUAGUAGGUAGGUUACAAGCAGUGAAGAUACCUUGGCCUAUGUUCAUUGAGCACACACAUAAUAGCAUUAGAAACAGUCGUAGUAUCAUCUUGGCCUUUCGUUUUCAACAUUACCAAGUAAUAAUAGCAUUAGUAGGUAGGUUACCAGCAGUGAGGAUACCUUGACCUAUGUUUCAUUGAGCACAUACAUAAUAGCAUUACUAACAGUCGUAGUAGCAUCCAAGCCUUUCAUUUUCAACAUUACAAGUAAUAAUAGCAUUAGUAGUUAAGUUACAAGCAGUGAGGAUACCUUGGCCUAUGUUUAUUGAGCACACACAUAAUAACAUUAGAAACAAUCGUAGUAUCAUCCCGGCCUUCCAUUUUCAAACCCUAACAUUUUCAUUUUCAAACAGUCGUAGAACAUUCUAAAUAUCAAAGAAUAAACAUUCGUCUUAUAAGUGGUGUUAAUUGUAACUGUAUCUCCGAAUAACUUAAAAUGUUGAAUCAUUAUGGAAUCAACCCAAAAAACAUGUUUAAGUCUACCACUAGAAUCCUUGACAAUAGAAUAAAAGAAAUCCGGUUGUACAGACUUCUUCAUUUCGAAUUCCUCGACCAGUAGAUCAACGCCAUAAUUCUUCAGAUCGACAUGAUCGUCACGACACAUAUUCGAUAUAUCCAAUUGCGUACAUCCCAUAUGUUCGAUUCCACCAACUUGAGUUGAAAAAUAAGCAGUUUGCUGUGAAACGGGUACAUUGACUUCACUAAGAGAUUGGAAAAGUAAUCUGGAGGUAGAGGAUAUCGAACGAUUUAUGGGAAGGAACCGUACUUUUGAAGAUGUGGUGAGGGGAUGAUUGUGCUCAAGAACAAUAUGUUUAACAAUCCAUACUUCAGACAUACCUUCUCUCUUUAUUUUAAUACUUGCACAACAACCACACCUUGAAAAUACAUUCUUACGUCGCUUGUCUAAUUUAGAAGGAUGUAAUAGAUCAACUGUUCCUUCUUUCGAACACAACAAUCGUCCCAUAACUAAAUUUUUUUUACCGUACGUCAUCCUUACUGGUUUUAUAGUUAGUAGAACCCAAACGAACGGAGAAACCCAUUUUCGACGCAUAACCAUAAUAUUGAUCAAGAGCAUCAGAAUAUGAGGAAUAAAUUUGACCAAAAGUGAGUGAUGAAUUCAAUUUAGCAUUGUCUGAAGAAGAAUUGGUAUCAGUGGGUUGUUUGGGAACGAAAAAACUAGGAGAAGCAUUGACGGAAGAAGUAAUAGCAUUAGGUAGUCCAGUUCCAUCAUUAUUCUCAGAAGAAAUAAGAGUACGCAGAUUGUCUAAUGGAGUGUCAUGGUUUUGAUGAGGAACAUAAUUAGAAUUACGAAUAAGUGGGAAAUCAUUGAUUCUUAAACAUUGUACAUUACCAUGGGUUUCAUUAGGAUUACAAUCAGAUGGUUUUUCUGUUUGGAUAGAGUAAAAAUCGAGACUAACAUUACACUGAGGUCUAGAAUGUUGUGUGGGUGGAAUCAAUGGUUGGGCAUGGAGUGGACGAUAUGGGAGUGGUGUGAUAUAUAUAGAGGAGGAAUUAGGAGAGAAAUGAAUGGUGUUUUUAGGCUCAAUGUUAGGUUGUUGUAAGGGUGAUGAUUGAUCAAUAACAUUUAAUGAAUUUAGAGUCGACACACCUUGAUGGAUGUCAAAGUCAUUUAAUGGUGAAAAGAUGGUAAGCGAAAAAACAAAAGGGUAAGACAAAAACAAGAAGAAUAGAAGCUUGCGUGGAAAAAAUAAAACGAAUAAAAAAAUUAAAAAUAAAAUAAAAAACUACACGUGGGUUGCGCGUGUUGAGGAAAAAAGUUUCACCGGUUACGAAGGGUGGGGAUUAUUUGUGUGAUUUUGGAAGGCUGCGAUGCCUUCGCAUUGUCAGCUGAUGCGAAGGCAUUCGCAGCUGAUUUAUUUUGCUAAUAUAUAUUUCAAUAGAGAUGAUCGGGUAUAUAUGAAUGAUGGUGAUUGACUGAUUGGAUAUGAUAUGACUAUUAGAAUACCAUGACGGUUGCCGGAAAAAAAUAUUGACAGUCUAGCCGUCAAAAACUUAAAAAGAAAAAUUACACUAGUGACCAGACUGUAAAAAAAUUUCUCUUUUUAAAAGGAAAAAUAGUAUCCCUGAUUACGAUGACUAAGCCGUAAGUAUCAACGUAGAAACAUCACUGACAAUCUAGUGGUCAGUAAUUACCCAUUAGAAAAAUACUAUUAUUUUAUAGUGACAGUAGGCUGGUUUAUCUUAAUUUUAAUAAUAUAAUAUUAUAUCGUUAAUUUCAAUGUUAUGACUUAUGCUAUAAUACAAAUAUUAUCAGGUGAUUUCUUAGUGUUAAUAAUAAAAUAAAAUAUUAUAUUGGAUUGGAUUUGAAUAUUAUAUCUGUGAUUAGGGGUGGACGUGGGCGAGUUAAACCAGAACAUGUUGUGUACGGAUUCAGGUGUAUAUUUUCGACCAUGAAACACGAUAUGAAAAACUUGAACCCGAGUUUUUUCAUUCGAUUUUUUCGAAUCGGGUUCAGGUAAACUCGAACCAAACUCGAUUCACCCAAAUUUUUUAUAAAAAAACUUUAAAAUAUAAAUAAAAUUUUAUUUUAUAUAAAAUAUUUUAUAAAAAUUUAAUAUAUACAUUUAAUAAAUUUCCUUUCUUCUUCUAAAAUUUAUUCCCUAAUAUUAUUAUCGAUUUCAACUUCUCUCUUAUCGCUGUACUCAUCGUAGUCGCCCGAUACAUCUUCACAUUUGAAUCUUCACAUUAUUUAAUAAUUAUUUGAUAUUUUAUCUUAUUUAAGAUUUUAAAAAUUAUUCGAUAAAAUUAUUUAAAUAACAAGAUUUUUUAUAUAAAUUUUUAAAAAAAAAUUAUUAAACCCGAACUGACAUCCAAAUCAAGUUAAGGUUUUAUAAUUUUAAAAAAUUCGAUUAGUGUGAUGAUAGGAGUUAUCAGGAUAAACCUAACAAUGAAUACGAAUAAACAUAACGAUGAAGAUUAAGAAUAUACUGAACAUAAUGAUAAAAAUCAGCUGCUGAUUCACAGAUGAUUAAAGUAGAAAGGUGUUAAAAAAAAUUCAAACUUUGCACCAGAGGUCCAAAACGAACAAUCCGGGAAUUUCUAAUCGAUCUCAGAUUAUCUCCCGUAUUUUUUCUUCCUUGAAUCGCCAUCAUUAUCAUCAUCGACAACAUCAUAAUCAUCAUUAUAGCUAUCAUCGUCUAGGGUCCCAAUCCAAUUAAUGCUGAGUCGUUUGAUCAUGUAUCGUAGAGAUUAAAGUAGAAAGGUGUUAAAAAAAUUUCAAACUUUGCACCAGACCGAACAAUCCGGGAAUUUCUGUUCGAUCUUAGAUUGUCCCCGGUGUUUUUUCUUCCUUGAAUCGCCAUCAUUAUCAUCAUCGUCAUCAUCAACAAUAUCAUAAUCAUCAUUAAUGCUAUCAUCGUCUAGAGUGUAUUAAUUAGGUGAGUUGUGGUACCAAUUUUACCAACCGAGAUGCAGGUUCGAUAAAUGAAGAAGAGAAGUUUGAUACAGGUAGAGAGGGAUCCAUUUCUGUAAAUAGAAGGGCACCGGAACGCGGGAUGGAGUUGGUUGACGUGAUAAACUCCAGGUUCCUGGAGCAUAUACCGGUGGAUUGGAUCGUUGUGAUGUUGGCAUUUGGUGGUUUGGUGAUUCUAAAAUAUUUCAUCUUCUUCCUGAGAUGGAUCUACGUCUACUUUCUGAGACCAUGUAAAGAUUUGAAGAGAGUUUACGGUUCAUGGGCAAUCGUCACUGGUAGCACUGAUGGUAUCGGAAGAGCCAUGGCUUUAGAAUUGGGUCGGAAAGGAAUGAAUCUGGUACUCAUCGGACGGAAUCCUGGUAAAUUAAAAGCAGUCUCCGACGAGAUCCUGACCGGAGAAUAUUGUCGUGGUUCUAAAGACAAGGACAGCAUACGUGUGAAAACAGUCGUGUUUGACAUGUCCGGCGACCUAAUCGAAGGAAUAGCUCUGGUCGGAGAAGCAAUCAAAGGGCUGGACGUGGGAGUUUUGGUCAACAACGCCGGAUUGAACAACUCAAACGGUAUUUUCUUUCAUGAAGGGAGAUUAGAGCUAUGGAGGGAGAUUGUGAAGAUUAACGUAGAGGCUAUAACAAUGGUGAGUAAAGUUGUUAUUGAUGGAAUGAUAGAAAGAGGGAGAGGAGCCAUAGUUAACAUCGGCGGCGGAUGCACUGUCGUCGGUAUCCAUCCUCUGUUCGCCGUUUACUGUGCUACCAAAGGGUAAGAUAUCUGACUAUUGAUCACUCAUUUUACCAUUAAAAACAGAGCUACAUCCACUGAUUUCAAAAACCGUGGUUAAUUGUUCGAUAAUAUAGCCAUGAACUUUUUAUUCAUGACUAAGGUUGUGGCUAUUUUGAAAAUUUAGCCACAUAUUCUACUAUCUGUAGCUACUUUGGUGGCUAAAUUUCUCGGGAAAAUUUCCUUCCAUUUUGGCGGUGGCUUUUCCUUUUUUUACCGUUUUAACAAUUAGCCAUGACGUACCACUAAAUAAAAUACUCAUUGAUCAUGGUUAAUAUUUAGCCACAGAUAAUUAAUUUCGUAGCUAAAAAACAGUAGCCACCAGACGUACGCCCAAGACCCUUCCCGUGGCUAAAUUCAUGAUGUAGUCACAUAUUUGAUCAAAGGGCCACUGAUUUUGGUCGUAAAUCAGUGGCCCUUUGAUCCAAAUCACAUGAUCCAAAUCUCGAGAACCAAAAAAUAAUCACAUAGAUCAAAAUGGAUGACUUAAUUUACAGGUAUGUGGAGCACUUUUCGAGAAGCCUCCAUGCAGAGUAUAAAAGGAGUGGUAUUGAUGUUCAGUGUCAGGUAAUUGAAAAUUAAGAAACGAAAUAUAUUUUUUUGAAAGUAACAUUUUUAGUAGUAAACUUAUGAAAUUUUGUACCAAAAAUCGUACAUUUUUUAGUUUAUUUCAAUUGAAUUUCUACUAAUUUUAAUUACUUUGCUUGAUCUCUAUGUAGGCACCUUUCUAUGUAUAUACAAAUAUGACGGCAAAAUAUCAAAAAACGUCAUUCUUUGUGCCAUCUCCUGAGAGAUACGCCAAAGCCGCGGUGCCGUGGAUCGGAUACGAUGGCUUCUGCGUCCCAUAUAUCAAUCAUUCCCUUCAAGCUUUUAUACUUUCGAUUCUACCGGAGUUCGUAAUCAACGCAUAUCUUAUGCGUGUUGGAAUGAGGUUUGACACUCUAAAAAGGAACAAUAAUUAACACACAAGGAGAUUAUAAAGGGUCACAAUACCUACUAAGGUUUCUGAGUGUUCAAAGUUUUAUCAAACCUACUAAGGUUUAUGAGUGUUCAAAGUUUUAUCAAUACAUACUAAGGUUUCUGAGUGUUCAAAGUUUUAUCAGUUAUAUAAUAUGUGGUUAUAAUAUAUAAUUAAAAGUUGGAUAUUAAUUUAUUUGGUACUAUGGAAAGGAAACAUUUGAUCACAAUAUUUUUUUUCCCAUAAAUGUACAUCUUGAGUAUUUGGUAACUACACAAUGUAGUUUAAAAAAUAAGUAUUGUACUACAAUGUAUUUCUUAUAAAUGGUCUAGAUUCUCUCUAAGUUUCACCCUUAGGAGUAUUUAUACAGUCACUCUUGGGUUCGGAAUCUUCAUAGACCGGGCCUAUCCUAAUGGUCCCAAUCUGUUGGACCGGGGGGGUAUCAUAUAGGCCUAGGGGUGAGAACGGGGCGGUUCCCCCCGAUAACGUUUCGUUCCGCGUCCUAGUAGUAACCGGGGUCGGGGCCAGGUGAACCUUGUCCUAUUUUUAACUUUUGACCCGAUGCUCCGGUCAUAUUCCGAGGCGGGUCUUGGGGCAAGGUGAGCCCCGGCCGGUUUUGCC